rnacentral:ncRNA from 2 species
UGGUAGCCUCGCCGUCGAGGUCCGACGUGGGGAAAGCCGGUGGGAAUCCGGCACUGACCCGCAACCGUGAGGCGCGCGCGCCGCAGUCGGAUUGCCCGCCCGGACCUCGGCUCACAC